UAUCAUUGAGAUUUAUCUACCAAAAUGUUUGUUCCUAUCUUUCUCCUCUCUUGGUAUAUCAUUAAGAUGAGAACUCUUCUGCUAUUCUAAGGUAUGUUUCUUUAACAAGAUCAUGUCAUCUUUCUUUUUGGCUACUAUAUUUUGUAUUCUGGGUGAUAUUUUUAGGCUGUGCUUUGAAUUUCUCUUCUUCUUCAAGAAUUUCUAACGGAAUAUGACCCAAUCCAUAAAUUUGAAGUGAAAAAAUUAAAAAAUAUAAAAAAUUACCCAUUUGUUAGUUCAAAAAGUUGUGACUUUCAUUUUCUAAUUGCAGAGCAAUAGAUUUGAUAAAAAAAAUUAGCACUAGCAGCUUUUCCCCUUUUUACAAUAGCAAAUGAACAGAAUUUCUUAAUUUUUUGGAUAAAUAAGAAUAAGAGAACAUCAUUAGUUAUAGCUUUGGUGUUAUACAGUCGUUGAUGGGUUCAGAUUUCAUAGAAGAAAACUUGUUCUAUACUACUAGAAGAAGAAAAUCUGUUGGCGCGUGAUUUAUCUUGAUACUAUCACUGAGACUGACGUUUACAAGUGUGAGCUAGAGGAUUUUCCAGGUAUGAAUUUUUAGAUUUUGUUAGGAGCUUUUGAAAAAUGAGAUUUUGAUGAGUUUUUUGGGUUGUUGACUUGAUUUGAUCAUUUGGGUGCUGAUUCUUUAUUUGCUGCAGACAGUUGUGGGAGGAACAAUUCAAGUCCCAACUUUGACGGUAAAUGUUAUUGUUACUGUGCUAAAAUACUCAUACUAAGCUACUAAUAGUUAAUAUUUGUCCUCUGUUUUCCUUCUUAUAAUCUUUUUUAUAGUUUUAUGGGAUAAUAAGCUGCUAUUAUACAAGGUUAAAAUCUGAUAGCAGGGGUAAGCAUUGCAUUUAUGUGUAGAAGUGUAAAGACUAAACAACAUAAUGUCAUUAGAUUCCAAGUGUCAAUUCAAUUUAGUAAGGGAAACUACAUAUUUUGUUGUCUUAACUUUGAAUGUAUCCCCUUAUCCUUAAUCUUGUUCAAGUGAAGCUAAUCCUGAUGUUUUGUUUCUAAAAACAGGACCCAUAAUUGAAAUUUGGUUUUCAAAUCAAACACGAGCUCUUGCUAUUUUAUUGAUAUGGGCAAACGAAUAGCAGAAAGAUCAAUAAACAAAAAUCAGCACUUAAUUUUUGAUAUGCAUGCUGAAAUAUAAAAUGAAGUUACGUACAAUAAACUCUUGAUAGUCCAAGUCUUAGUGGUUCUUGCACAUAGCAGAAACUUUAGUGUAUCACGCUGCCUUUCUCAACACUAGUACUUUAUCUAUGGAAAUUAUAAAAUGAAAAAAGGGAGAAGAUAUAUUAAUUUGUAUUGUAUUGACUACUAUAUUAUUUAUUGGCUAAUUUAGGCAAGGAAUGUUUCCAUGGAACAAGUGAUGGAAUUGAGGAGUACUCUUCGCGAUGUAAGUAUCAUAAGUAACUCCGCUUUUUAUUUAGGCAAAAUACUCGGAUUGAAGGGUGUCUUGGAGAAAUGGUGAAAUUGUCUUCGUGUGAUCUAUAAGUCACAUGUAACUCUUUCGUGAAUCCUACUAAUGUGGGAUGCUUUGUGCACCAUGCCGUCUUUACUCAUAAUUUUUAGAAUGUGGCCCUUUUGCAAAUUCUAUUAACAUGGGAUGUUUCGUGUGUCAAGACAUCUUUACUCAUUGUAUCUUUGUAUGUUUUUGACAGGAAUUUCAAGCAAAUACAAGACCAGUUCAGGGCUUACGUAGAAGACCAGUGUAUGUAGCUAUGUAAGAAAGACCAAAAAUUGAUGAAUUAUUAAUCUUCAAAUUAAAAAAUGGCUUGUAAAUUUACCAUGAGAAUCACUGUGAUGCUGUACUGUGAUGCCACAGCUUAUUUUGAGGGCUUUUUUGUUCUUGAGUUGCAGCAUCUCAUGGUUCAAUUUUUGUAUGUAUGCUGAGAAGAACAUGGGAGAGUUAAGAGGGUAUUUACACCAUUAGUGUUGGCAUGUGAUGUUGUGUCUACAUGAGGGAUUGUAUUAGGAAGUGGUUUUAUUGUUUUCUGUAUAAGAAAGUGAAUCUAGAUAGCAGUAGUUGUUAAUCCCUCUUUUUUGUUGCGAUAUCUACUAGAACUGUUGAAUUCUUUGUUAAUUUGACUAAUUAAUUUCUCUAAGUUAGUAAUCGCCUAUUUCAGUUAAUUUAACAUCUAUUCAAAAAAUCUUAAAUAUAAUGUAUUGUAUUCUUUCAUACAAUAAGUCUCAGUCAUACAUUUGCAUAGCUCAACCUGAGGAUGCAACUACUCCCUUUUUGUAUCUAUGUAAAUAAUAUGUAUAGUCAAACAUUUGUAGAGCUCAACUUGAGGAUGCAUCAACUCUCUUUUUGUAUCUAUGUAAAUAAUAUGUACAGUACUAAGAAGAUCUGUCGGCGUGUGAUUUAUCUUGAUGCUAUCGCUGAGACUGACUUAUACAAGAGUGAGCUAGUGGAUUUACCUGGUAUGAAUUUUUAGAUUUUGUUAGGAGCUUUUAGAUUUUGAUGAGUUUUUUGGGUUGUUGACUUGAUUUGAUCAUUUGAGUGCUGAUUCUUUAUUUGCUGCAGACAGUUGUGGGAGGAACAAUUCAAGUCCCAACUCUGAUGGUAAAUGUUGUUGUUAAUGUGCUAAAAUACUCCUACUAAGCUACUAAUAGUUAAUAUUUGUCCUCUGUUUUCCUUCUUUGAAUUUUUUUUAUAGUUUUAUGGGAUAAUAAGCUGCUAUUAUACAAGGUUAAAAUCUGAUAGCAGGAAUAAGCAUUGCAUUCAUGUGCAGAAGUGUAAAGACUAAACAACUUAAUGUUGUUAGAGUCCAGUGUCAACACAAUUUAGUAAAGGAAACUACAUAUUUUGUCUUCUAAACUUUGAGCGUAUCCCCUAUCCCUAAUCUUGUUCAAGUAAAGCUAAUCCUGAUGUUUUGUUUCCAAAAACAGCACCCAUAAUUGAAAUUUGAUUUUCAAAUCAAACACGGGCUCUUGCUAUUUUAUUGAUAUGGACAAACGAAUAGCAAAAAUAUCAAUAAACAAAAAUCAGCACUUAAUUUUUUAUAUGCAUGCUGAAAUAUAAAUUGAAGUUAUGUACAAUAAACUCUUGAUAGUCCAAGUCUUAGUGGUUCUUGCACAUAGCAGAAACUUUAGUGUAUUACGCUGCCUUUCUCAACACAAGUACUUUAUAUAUGGGAAAUUAUAAAAUGAAAAAAAGGGAGAAGAUAUAUUAAUUUGUAUUGUAUUGACUACUAUAUUAUUUAUUGGCUAAUUUAGGCGAGGAAUGUUUCCAUGGAACAAGUGAUGGCAUUGAGGAGUGCUCUUCGUGAUGUAAGUAUCAUAAGUAACUCCGCUUUUUAUUUAGGCAAAAUACUCGGAUUGAAGGGUGUCUUGGAGAAAUGGUGAAAUUGUCUUCGUGUGAUCUAUAAGUCACAUGUAACUCUUCCAUGAAUCCUACUAAUGUGGGAUGCUUUGUGCACCAUGCCGUCUUUACUCAUAAUUUUUAGAAUGUGGCCCUUUUGCAAAUUCUAUUAACAUUGGAUGCUUCGUGUGUCAAGACUUCUUUACUCAUAGUAUCUUUGUAUGUUUUUGAUAGGAAUUUCAAGCAAAUACAAGACCAGUUCAGGGCUUACGUAGAAGACCAAUGUAUGUAGCUAUGUAAGAAAGACCAAAAAUUGAUAAAUUAUUAAUCUUCAAAUUAAAUAAUGGCUUGUAAAUUUACCAUGAGAAUCACUGUGAUGUUGUACUGUGAUGCCACAACUUAUUUUGAGGGCUUUUUUGUUCUUGAGUUGCAGCAUCUCAUGGUUCAAUUUUUGUACAUAUGCUGAGAAGAACAUGGGAGAGUUAAGAGGGUAUUUACACCAUUAGUGUUGGCAUGUGAUGUUGUGUCUACAUGAGGG
rnacentral:lncRNA from 1 species